GCAGAUAUAAUUUAAAGGUAGAAUGACAGUAUGUGAAACUGUAUGAAUUGGUUCAAUUCCAAUUAUUUGCC
rfam:Conidiobolus coronatus NRRL 28638 unplaced genomic scaffold CONCOscaffold_420, whole genome shotgun sequence.